UCAGCCAGAGGGGCUCCUUUGGCUGAGGACAUCAACCCCUGUAAUUGCAGGAGGGAGCCCACCAGGACACACAGUCAGAACAGCAGCUGCAGCUCCUCUGCUCACUACUCAGCCGUCUUCUACAGAGAGGACACAGUGGCUGUCCUGAUCCCUGAAGGCAGGGACCUGGGCCUGGCAUUCCCCAGGCAUUCAGUAUGGGCUGGGAGCAGUGCCAGUCCUGCAGCGCAGCAAAGGGCAGAAAGCAAUGAGGUUGGCUGUCCACAGUGGGACUGAGAAGAUAGAGGCCCCAGCGCCCGUUCUUCUUGCUGCAGUAGGAUAGGCAGCAACCCUGGGAACAGCAGAGAGAUGCCUGCGUGGGCACCUCCUCUCCUUGCUGUGGCGUGGUACUCUGAGACAAGAAGAAAGCCAAGGGGAGGACAUGAGCAGGAACACUGAAAGGGACGGAGGGAACAGUGAGAGCU